rnacentral:rRNA from 1 species
AUUAAACGCUGGCGGCAUGCCUUAACACAUGCAAGUCGAACGGCAGCACGGGGGUCAACCCUGGUGGCGAGUGGCGGACGGGUGAGUAAAGCAUCGGAACGUAUCCUGGAGUGGGGGAUAACGUAGCGAAAGUUACGCUAAUACCGCAUAUUCUGUGAGCAGGAAAGCAGGGGAUCGCAAGACCUUGCGCUCUGGGAGCGGCCGAUGUCGGAUUAGCUAGUUGGUGGGUAAAGGCCUACCAAGGCGACGAUCCGUAGCGGGUCUGAGAGGAUGAUCCGCCACACUGGGACUGAGACACGGCCCAGACUCCUAC